AUACAAUAUUUUAUUGAAUAUAAUAAAAACAGAAAUGUCAGUGAAUGCACCCUGUACUUCUAUUAAUGAGGAUACUAUUCUGGAAUUAAUAUAUAGAAUUGAUUGUAUCAUAUAUUACCUAUUUGCAAUGUUAUUACAUGCCAUUCUCCAAGUAUUUACAGGAAAAAAAAGGAACUUCUAUGUAAAAGCAAGGAAAAUGAGAGAAACGGUAAUUUAAAGGGGGAUCUAAUUUCAGAUGAUGAAUGCCAGCUGCCAGUGAACAUAUAUGGACUGUGUUUUUGACAAAACUCACAGUCCCACCUUUGGCCAUUAAGCCUAGAAAAAGGACCAUUAACACCCAAUUCCAGGGUUUAGAACUGUUACCCCUUUCAUUGUUGAUUCCUCAUUUUUUAAAUCAUUAAUGUGAGUGGCUACUCGCCUCCUUCACAAGGUGGUGGAGAGAAGGAAAUUGAUGCUGGUGCAGUUUUUUUCCACCUCAACUCCUUGGGUUGUACAAUUUUGUGGGGAUUCUCUGGGAAAACUUCAAAGCAAUUUAAAUAGACCUGUCCCAAGCAUGCAAGUACAGAACUCGAUGACCUUUCAGAAACAGUGACAAAGUUCAGAAUCCCAUUCUUCCAUCCUAGAUGGGAAACAUCAAUUUUUCCUGAUGGUGAGUUUGACAGAAUCCAUCCCCAAAAGUGUGGGGAGCUGUUGGCAGGCAAAGAUUUCUGUGAGUAGAAGAGGAAAAGAGAAAAAGAAUUUGUUAGUUGUUUUCCUUGCCUGCCUCUCAAUGUAGAUGCUGAAAAAGCAAGAUACUCAUUUUUCCAGCCACCCUUGCAGAGCCAGAAAGCCCAUGAGAUUCAAUAGAUGUAAAGUUGAGAAAGACUUUCAUUCCUGGAGGAAAGGAGACAGGCAUAGGAGGAGAGUUUUCUCUUGCCAUCUUUGCAAUCUCCCCACUUUUGACGUGUACAGGGUCAAGAAAAGAUGUGCUGUCUAGAAGUGUGGCAACUAUUGGGGGGCCAUGAAUCAUCAAACGUAAAGACAAAAACUAAACAUGCUGCAGAUGUGGAAAUGCAAGGAAAGAAGAGCAUGGGACCCCAUGACAGGAAGCCACCCACCAGUCUGGGACAUCUACCUCCUAACAUCUUAUCAGAUGAGGAAACCAAGGAGCAAGAAGCUUAAAAAGUCCUGUGUGAUCACACAGCUGAUAACUGAUAAAACCAGAAGAAUUUGAGCCCAAACCCUUCAUUCCAAAAAUGUCGUACCAGACCUUCCACAAGAAACAGAGUCUCAUUGUGUUGACCAGGCUGGUAUUGAACUCCUGAGCUGAUCCUCCUGCCUCUGUCUCCAACGGAAAUCUAUACUGACCAUUCCAGUUACCUAUUUCUGUGGAACAAAUCACCCCCAAAGAAGAGUGUCUGGUAUACUGUAUGCUAAUCCAACAGGACUGUGGUCUUAUAAGAAGAGGAAGACUCUCUCUCUACCAUGAGAAGACACAAUGAGAAGGUUGCCAUCUACAAGCCAGAAGGAGAGCCCUCACUGGAAGUCAGCCAUGAUGGCACCCUGAUGUCAGACUUCCAGCCUUCAGAGCUGCUGGGCCGUAAUCCAAGGAUCGGUGUCUUCAUAAGAGGGAAAUUUGGACACAGGUAACACAGAGAGGAGAAUGCCACAGGAUGAAGGAGGCAGAGAUGGAAUGAUGCAUCUACAAGCCAGGGCUACUGGAAACCAUGAGAAGCUGGGAGAGACGCAGAUUCACAGGAGGUUUUCCAAAGAAAUGAAUAGGAAGGUCUUCUGAACUCUUCCCCCCAGCCUCUCCCAGUGUUAACAUUGAAUGUAAGUACACCAGCACCAUUAUGGAAUUAAUUCGGAUUUCACCAUUAUAGAGGUAUUUAUUUGUAUGUUUGUGAUGGUUAAUUUUAGGUGUCAACUUGACUGGGUUAAGGGUUAUCCAGAGAGCUGGUAAAGUAUUAUUUCAGGUAUGUUUGAGAGAUGUUUCUGGAAGAGACAUGAAUCAAAGGACUGAGUAAGGAAGAACUGCCCUCACCAAUGUGGGUGGGCACCAUCCAGUCUGCUAAGGACCCAGGUAGAACAGAAAGGCAGAGGGAAGCUGAAUUCAUCUCUCUCUCUCCUGGAGCUGGGACACCUGCUUCUCCUGCCCUCGGAGAGCAGAAUUCCAGGUUCUCCCACCUUUAGGACUUGUAUUCUCAGGCCUUCUCUGUCUCAAACUGAGAAUUAUACCAUCAGUCUCCCUGGUUCUCAGGCCUUCAGAUUUGAACUGAGCCAUGCUUCCCGCUUCCCUCGUUCUCCAGCUUGUAGGAAACCUAUUGUGGGACUUCUUUAGUCUCCAUCAUCACAUGGAUCAAUGCCCCUAAUAAAUUUCCCUCUCUCUCUUUCUCUCUCUCUGUCUGCAAGCCAGGAAGCAGGUCCUCACCAGACACCAGAUCUUCAGGGGCCUUGAUCUUGGUCCUACCACCCUCCAGAACUAUAAGAAAUAAAUGUAUGUUGCUUAUGUUAAUUUUCCAGCCUAUGUUAAUUGUUUUUAACAGCCUGAAAGAAGAUCACAUUUAGCAUGAAUUCUUGUUUAUGUCACUUUCUGAUGUUUUGCACUUUAAUUUCUCCCUUCUUCUUGCCUUUCUACAUUUUUUCCUUUAUGUAUCCAUUCUUUUCACUCAAUUUUGCUUUCUUUUAACAUUUACAUAUACAUGUACCAUUUUCUUUUCUUUUCUUUUUUUUUUUUUUUGAGACAGAGUCUUGCUGUGUUGCCCAGGCUGGAGUGCAGUGGUGCGAUCUUGGCUCACUGCAACUUCUGCCUCCCCCAGUUUAGGUGAUUCUCCUGCCUUAGCCUCCUGAUUAGCUGAGAUUAUAGGCACAUGCCACUAUGCCCAGCUAAAUUUUUGUAUUUUUAUUAGAGAUGGGGUUUCACGGUGUUAGCCAUGAUGGUCUCAAUCUCCUUACCUUGUGAUCCACCUGCCUUGGCCUCCCAAAGUGCUGGGUUUACAGGCAUGAGCCACCGCACCCAGCCUACAUGUACCACUUUCUAUUUUUCUGAUGUAGUUUCCUUCAAAAUGGCAAAAACAUAUGACCACAUAUAAAUAUGUACU